CUCCAGAGAUAUUCAUGUAAAACUUUUCUUUAUUUGCAGGAUAGAACACUUUUUUCCAUAUGAGACAUUUUAGUCACAAGCGAUAGCCAUGGUCAAGUCCCUAAAGUACUAUCAUGUUAGAUCUAACACCUUGAGAUUCACAGCCUUCUUUGCCAGAUUUACCAAACCCUUAGAAGUUAGAAGGCAGAGCUUCUAAAGGCUUGUCACUAUGAUUCCUUCAAUAAUUGUAUCAAGGCUAAAUAGCUUGUCAUACCCACUGAUAACUUGGCUUUGCUAACUCUUUAAUUUGCCAUGCAGACCUUCUGGAGAUUUCUCUUCUCCGAAUCAGGAAAGACCAAUAAACAGGCAGCAGCGAAGCUAACCUGAUAGAACUACAGAAAACACACCAUCCUAGUUCUUAGUAUUGAGAGGGUCAACAUGAAUGGAUUUUAUCUUGUUUGGUCUAUAUUUGCUUCCUGGCCUGAUUUUGUUUCCAUUUUUCUCACCUAGUCUGCUUCAUCCAUUUAAGGAUAAUGAUAGGAGUUGGGGAAAUGUACAGAGAUCUGGAACUGAUAGAAAUGCAAGAAAGGACCACAUUGUUAUUAUCCUCUCCAGUACUACCUUGUCUAGAAGCUAAAUGCCAGAGCUAGUUUAUACUGGUCCCAUGACACUCAAAACUGAU
rnacentral:lncRNA from 1 species